ACGCACGCUGGCGGCGUGCUUAACCCAUGCAAGUCGCACGGAAAGGCCCUGCUUGCCGGGUACUCGAGUGGCGAACGGGUGAGUAACACGUGGGUGAUCUGCCCUGCACUUCGGGAUAAGCCUGGGAAACUGGGUCUAAUACCGGAUAGGAGCCAUUUUUAGUGUGAUGGUUGGAAAGUUUUUUCGGUGUAGGAUGAGCUCGCGGCCUAUCAGCUUGUUGGUGGGGUAAUGGCCUACCAAGGCGGCGACGGGUAGCCGGCCUGAGAGGGUGGACGGCCACAUUGGGACUGAGAUACGGCCCAGACUCCUACGGGAGGCAGCAGUGGGGAAUAUUGCACAAUGGGCGCAAGCCUGAUGCAGCGACGCCGCGUGGGGGAUGACGGCCUUCGGGUUGUAAACUCCUUUCGCUAGGGACGAAGCUUUUUGUGACGGUACCUAGAUAAGAAGCACCGGCUAACUACGUG
rnacentral:rRNA from 1 species